ACUCCUACGGGAGGCAGCAGUGGGGGAUAUUGCACAAUGGGGGAAACUCUGAUGCAGCGACGCCGCGUGAGUGAAGAAGUAUUUCGGUAUGUAAAGCUCUAUCAGCAGGGAAGAAAAUGACGGUACCUGACUAAGAAGCCCCGGCUAACUACGUGCCAGCAGCCGCGGUAAUACGUAGGGGGCAAGCGUUAUCCGGAUUUACUGGGUGUAAAGGGAGCGUAGACGGCGACGCAAGUCUGAAGUGAAAUACCCGGGCUCAACCUGGGAACUGCUUUGGAAACUGUGUUGCUGGAGUGCUGGAGAGGUAAGCGGAAUUCCUAGUGUAGCGGUGAAAUGCGUAGAUAUUAGGAAGAACACCAGUGGCGAAGGCGGCUUACUGGACAGUAACUGACGUUGAGGCUCGAAAGCGUGGGGAGCAAACAGGAUUAGAUACCCUGGUAGUCCACGCCGUAA
rnacentral:rRNA from 1 species